rnacentral:rRNA from 1 species
GAGCCCGCACAAGCAGUGGAGUAUGUGGUUUAAUUCGACGCAACGCGAAAAACCUUACCAAGGAUUGACAUCCAGAGGAGGCCGGGUAAUGCUGGCUGUGCCCUUCGGGGAACUCUGAGACAGGUGGUGCAUGGUUGUCGUCAGCUCGUGUCGUGAGAUGUUGGGUUAAGUCCCGCAACGAGCGCAACCCUUACUGUUAGUUGCUACGCAAGAGCACUCUGGCAGGACUGCCGUUGACAAAACGGAGGAAGGUGGGGACGACGUCAAAUCAUCAUGCCCCUUAUAUCUUGGGCUACACACGUACUACAAUGGCGCAGAACAAAGGGCAGCGACCCCGCGAGGGUGAGCGAAUCCCAUAAAAUGCGUCCCAGUUCGGACUGGAGGCUGCAACUCGCCUCCACGAAGUUGGAAUUGCUAGUAAUCGCGAAUCAGCAUGUCGCGGUGAAUACGUUCCCGGGCUUU